UACGGAGGGGGUUAGCGUUGUUCGGAAUGACUGGGCGUAAAGCGCGCGUAGGCGGGCAUUUAAGUCGGGGGUGAAAUCCCGGGGCUCAACCCGGAAUGGCCUUCGAUACUGGGUGCCUAGAGUUCGAGAGAGGUGAGUGGAAUUCCGAGUGUAGAGGUGAAAUUCGUAGAUAUUCGGAGGAACACCAGUGGCGAAGGCGGCUCACUGGCUCGACACUGACGCUGGAGGUGCGAAAGCGUGGGGAGCAAACAGG
rnacentral:rRNA from 1 species